GGGGAUUUAGCUCAGCGGUGUGAGCAUCUGCCUUGCAAGCAGGCAGUCCUGAGUUCGAUCCCCG
rnacentral:tRNA from 1 species